AAGGCAUCUGAAAAACAAAAUGGUGGCCGAAGACACUGAGUGCAAUUCUCCUCUGUGGAAGAACCUAUGGUGAGCUGGUCUUGUGGUAGCAAGCAUGACUUGUCCCCUUAGCUAAGCAGGGUCUGCCCUGGUUGCAUAUGAAAGGGAGACUAGAAGUGUGAGCACUGUCAGAUCUUCCCCUCAAGGGAUGGAGCCACUCUGGGAAAAGCAGAAGGUUCCAAGUUCCCUCCCUGGCUUCUCCAAGAUAGGGCUGAGAGAGAUUCCUGCCUGCAACCUUGGAGAAGCCGCUGCCAGUCUGUGAAGACAAUACUGAGCUAGAUAGAUCAGUGGUCUGACUCAGUAUAUGGCAGCUUCCUAUGUUCCUAUGGUGCCCGACAGAAACCCGACACCACUGAGGCGAUAAUGACCCUCUUAUACGCAGGGUGGAUUGAUUAAAUCAAGGCGAUUUAAAUUAUUGAUUUAACUCACGGAGAGAAAACCACAAUUAAAGCCACUGAUUUAAAUCAAGUUUCCUACGGUUACCUCAUACAUUUCUUAAACAAUGGUGCAAAUCUGACCACGAAAACUUGUUAAUUCACAACGCAAUAGAGUGUUUACAGCAUCUAGGAGGAAGUACUUGGUGUGAUUUCUUUUAGAUAAUUUGAUUUUUAUUAGUUUAGCGAACAGUACAUAAUACCUGGUUUUUAAUGUAAUGGAUACCUUUCACAUUACGCGUGUCAAGCUGCUCUGUAUCUUCUUGUUGAACUGUUUACACCAGACACACUUUCCUUUUUACCCAAGGAAGGCACUUCUUCAUAAUUUGGCCACAUAGGGUGGUUCCUACACCCAGAAGCUAGGGCAGUUUUUCAGUGGCAACAUGUGGAGAAAUACAGGAAGCUGUGUACUGCAUAAUGCCUUCCCUUCCUGCCUCCAUUUUUCUACUUUACCUCCUUUCCUAUAUGGCGUCUCUGUCUUAACUCUGCCUUGGCCAAGACCCACCGCAAAACAAACACCCUAUUAAUCAGCCUGUGUCUUUGCACAUGAAAAACAGCUUAGAAACACAAAUGGAGAGCCCAGAGGUUUCCCAAAGCAAGAGCUGGUAGUUGCUGGGCGCUGCUGAGCAGGCUAGAACUAUUUUCAUGAGAUGAAACUGAAAUUAACACCCAUUUUUGGCUGGUAUGUAACUCACUGAGGCUGUCCACACAAGUGAAAACUGGGUAGGACAAAUGUCCUACCCAGGUUUGCGAGCUGUGUGCGUUCCCAAUUUUUGCUUGUGUGGGAGCAAACAAAUAGGUAGGAGGAGGGAGAAGUGACUUGAGAGUGAUUCCUGAGGUGGCUUGUUUGGAAGCAGCCCUUGAGAAGAUAAGGCUCAGGCCAGGAGAAGUAGCAAACCUUUGUUUUCUUUCUUAAAGAAGCAAGCAAGAAGCAAAUAAAUAAAUAAAUCACCAAUAGGAAAACAAGGAGCAAAGGACAAGGUAUAUUUGUUAGGGAUAGUCUUUUCUAGGAUUUGAUAUCUGGCUGGCUAGGGGGGUUGUUUUUAUUUUAUUUCUUUAUUUUAUUUAUUUAUUCGAUUUUUUUGACAGGGCAGUUUCAGUUCCAGUUGUGCCUAGAGAGACAUUGGGCGGGGAUUCACUGCAGAUUAAGGGAGGGGCCACAUUCCUGAGGUGGCUCAGUUUGGAAGCAGCUCUUGAGAAGACAAAGCUCAGAUCAGGGGAGCUUUGCGAACAGGAGUUUGCAACAGAUAUCAAAGGAUUAUGUGUGGAGUUUAGCAGGGAUCUGUGCAUAAAGGCACACAAGCAUCCCUCCUUAUAAAAAAGGAGACACCCAGCAUGAAAAGGUGAGCACUACCCCACUUUUGCAAUUUUCUUGGAGGACAGAGCUUGAAACCUUUACUUAGCUGACAACUGCAGCUAAAACCUAGAUUUCAAAUAAACAACCUCUAUAUAAUCUAAAUAGCCAAUAAAACCAAAAGGUAGUCUAAAACUAAAGGUAGAAUGCCAGCAGGGGAGGGGGUGCUUCCCAGUGUAUUGCACAGAGUUUUGCAUAUAUGACGACCUGCCUAAGGGGCAGAGGUCAUGGGUGUAUGCCCUCAAUGCAAAGAGCUCCUGGCUCUCAGGGAACAUGUUCGGCAAUUCUUCCAACAUGAGAAUUUGAAAUGUGGUGUUUUAUUUACAUUUCUUUUUUAAAAAAUCUGAUUUAAAUCUAGUUUAAAUUUUUGAAAUUGGAUUGAAAAUAAACAAAUAUCAUUGAUUUGUAUCCAUCCUGCUUAGAUGGAACUACAUGGAUGCAAAAAGGCCUGAGAAGGAAACAUGAAAACAGCCUCACAUCUCUCAGGCUCAGUCACCUGUUUCAAACAGAGGCCACUUCCAAGGCAUCCGAUUUGUGCAUUCCUUCACUACAGCAAGGAUUGGCUAGAAUGAUUUAAUUCUUUCUUUGCUCCCUGGAACCAUUCAACUUUUACAGCCUGCCUCUCUCGGUUGCUCACAGAUGCCUUUUUGUCUCCCACAGCACCAGGCCUGGAGUGUGAAUCCUAGCAGUUCUCUCUGGGCACAGCUCCCAGAAACGCCACCACCCAGGACAGGGGGCUGACUUCAGCUGCGGCUCGAUUCCAACAGCAGGCAACACAUUUCCCAGCCUCAGGCUAUGGCCCCCAGUCAAGCAAGCAAGGCUCAGUGGAAGAGCACCUGCUUUGCAUGCAAAAGCUUCCAGGUUCAAUCCCUGGCAGCAUCUCCAGGUUUGUAACACUCAAAAAUCAGAUCAAUAAUUCAAAAACAACAUCACACCCAAGAGAAGUGGAAGAUCUUUCUCAGAUUCAAAUUUACUGUGAUACAAAUUUACCAUCCAUGGGAACUUUUGUGCAAGGGUGCAACUUCUGGAUUUUGCACAGCUGUGCAAUUUUCUUCUGCAUGUGCAACUUUGUUUCUCGCACAAGCGCUUUGGGCCUUGGAAAUACUGUUUUGUUUUGAAACGGCUAAGGACAACCCGCUGCUGUGCUCCUAGCCAAGGUGAGCCUCUGUCUUGUCCUUUUCCCCCUGAAAGAGGACACAGUGCAUCAGCUCAGGCUGGGAGGAUUUGGUAGAGGAAUUGCGGACUCUAAUCUCUGCUGGGACGCCAACGCUGACUUGCUGAAUUGAGCAGCACUCUCAUGACAGGACUGAGCAGGGUCAUCGAUCUGACUGACUUCUAUGUUAAGGAAGACCCAACCAGAAAAGGGGAGUGGGAGGAAAGAGAAACAGCAAAGAGAAACACGUGCUGCUUCUUAUAAUAAUUUCCAAAGGGACAAAUGCCCAUUCAAAACAACAACAACAAAAACGGACCAGCUCUGAGUCCCCUCAUAUGGGAGAAGCAAAACCAUGAGGAUGCUACACAUUUUUGCACCGGAACAAUCCAGAUUCUGUGCCUUCCAAGGCUUGUAAAGUGGUGUGUGUGUGUGUGUGUGUGUGUGUGUGUAUAUAUUUGGUUUUAAUAGUUUUUGAAUUGUUUUUAUAUUUUUAACACUGUGUUUUGAAUUGUCAGUUUUUAUGUCUUUUUAAAAGUUGUUGUACACCACCCAGAGCCUCUGGAUGGGGCGGUUUAUAAAUAUAAUAAAUAA